GGAGAGAUAUCGAAGCGGUCAUAACGGGGCUGACUCGAAAUCAGUUUGAGAGCAAUCUCACGUGGGUUCGAAUCCCACUCUCUCCGCCA
rnacentral:tRNA from 1 species